rnacentral:rRNA from 1 species
AUUGAACGCUGGCGGCAGGCCUAACACAUGCAAGUCGAGCGGAUGAAGGGAGCUUGCUCCUGGAUUCAGCGGCGGACGGGUGAGUAAUGCCUAGGAAUCUGCCUGGUAGUGGGGGAUAACGUCCGGAAACGGGCGCUAAUACCGCAUACGUCCUGAGGGAGAAAGUGGGGGAUCUUCGGACCUCACGCUAUCAGAUGAGCCUAGGUCGGAUUAGCUAGUUGGUGGGGUAAAGGCCUACCAAGGCGACGAUCCGUAACUGGUCUGAGAGGAUGAUCAGUCACACUGGAACUGGGACACGGUCCAGACUCCUACGGGAGGCAGCAGUGGGGAAUAUUGGACAAUGGGCGAAAGCCUGAUCCAGCCAUGCCGCGUGUGUGGAGAAGGUCUUCGGAUUGUAAAGCACUUUAAGUUGGGAGGAAGGGCAGUAAGUUAAUACCUUGCUGUUUUGACGGUACCAACAGAAUAAGCACCGGCUAACUUCGUG